rnacentral:lncRNA from 1 species
GGCGGGGCUUUAUAGGGACGCGCUCGGCGAGUUUCAGGAAGGUCGGAAACAGUGUGGCGGCGAUGGCGCACAGCGAAUCCUGCGCGGACUCGGCGCCGUGACGGGCGACGCUUUCCUAACGAGGACGAAGCCUGACAGGUGGGCCCCACCUGUCAGUGGCCGCGGGCACGCACGAGCAGACCGGGCUGGCUCGGUUCGGCUCUGCGCGGUCGGGACUGGGCCGGUUCGGCCCAAAACGGCCGGGCCGGUCUGGUUUCUUCCCUUUUUUUUCUUUUAGCCUUUUCUUUUUCCCUUUUUCUUAUUUCUUUGAUAUCUUUUGAUUUGAACUCCAAAUUGGUCCAAAUAAAUUCCAAUUUUUUUGUAAAAUCAUGUUUUAUCAUGAUUCAACCUUUGGGAGUAAUUUCCCCUCAAAAUAAAAUAUCUAAAAAUGCAUUUUCCCUAUAAAUGCCUUUAGGGCUAUAUAACUAUUUAAAUAAGAUAGUUUUUCAACUCCAAAAAUUAUCCAAAAAAUAUGGGAUAGCUCAUUUAUGCAAUAAACCCCAUUUGUAGUUAAACUCUAUUGGUUUGAAGAUCCAAAGCUCAAAUGGGUGAAAACCCUAGGGUUUAAUUUGAAAUAAAAUCUUUUACAGCCUUUUGAGAUUCAAAUUUGAAUUGAAAUAUGCAAUUGUGGCAUGAUGCUCAUGGAUGCAAUGCACAUGAAAAAGUUUGAAAUUUUUGGGAUGUUACACUUCACGAGUUACUCGCUCAGGGUCAACCCCCUAAGGUAAGCUGACGGUUCCUCCCCCCUUCUAUCUACGAGUUUGUGCUUGCCUUGAUUCCUUUGUUUCUCCGUUGACGCCUUGCAGGGACAGCGCUCCAGCCGGAUCCG